CUUUGUCUCAAAAAUGGUAUGAUUGAUAAGAAUUACUUGAAGAGCGACCGUCGUCCUGUUGACCUGCAGCUCAUUUAUUAUCUUAUGGAACACAGAAACGUCACGUUUGCAGAGCUUUGGGACUUUCAGUCAACACAUUAUUUUAUCCUGAUCUUAUGCAUUUUUUUUUGUAAACAUUUGUAUUAAAAAAAAAAAAAAAAAUAAGAACUUAAUAAUUUAGCAGCAUGAAAUUUGAGCCACAUUUGGUCAUUCUAUUUUCAAGUCUAUUAAUAGUAAAGUCUGAACCGAGCACCUGCCUGAAGCAGUAGACCAACAACUCGCUUUUCACUGACGCUUGGCAAGUUGCCUAUAUAUCGGUUAGUAAUGAAGAUUUUUUUGUAUUAUAAUUAAUUGAGCUUGACAGUCGUUAUUUUUUUUAAAAUAAGAUUACUCGCAUUAUAUUAUUUGUUAUUGAAAAAUUAUGGGCCAUUUUCCAUAUUUUGACUUUUUUAAAUGAUAUUUUUUAAUUCCAGGGUACAAUUUUUUAAGUAUGGUAGGCUUAUUCACUGAUUUUGUUUUAGUUUUUGAAUUAAAUAAUGUUACUGAACUUGUUGUUUUCAAAGAACUUCUUUCUCUACAGGUUUAUAAAAAGAUAAAUUCAAAGGUUUUCAGUUUUAGAAAAUAAAAUUAUAUAAUUUUUUUAUUGAACAAUAAAUAAAAUAAACCAAUUUCUGGGAAAAAAAUUAUCAUAUAUUCAAUACACUUGUGUUCCCAGCAGUUAAUCUUUGAGUGAGAGAAAAAAUAGCUUUAUUGGAUGGAAAUCUGAUAAUUUCGACAAGUAUUAACGCUUCAUUUAAAAUGUUGCUGGCAAUUUAAAAGCAGGUGAACAACAAAUAAUGUGUGCGAAACGUAAUAUAAUAAAAAUAGAACACAUGAUAAGAGGUAAGCAAAAUCCACGCUCCACGCUUCAUAUAUCAAGAUCAUACAUAUCAGAUUAAUUGUUUUAAAUAUAUUGCACCAAUUUAUAAAAUACAAAAUGUUUCCAAAGUUUAAAAUAAGCAAAUAAUAACUCUUUACACCGAUUAGAAUAAAAGACUUCCUUCAUAUCACAAAAAGAUUAAAAUCCUCAAAAUCGUUGUUGCAUGUCAACAGUGUGGUGUUGCUCCUUUUUGGAGAGAGCAAUGCUGUUUGGCGAAAAUUGCGUCAGGUUGUUGUGCGCCGAGUUUUUGCUGGCCAAAAUAUCUUGGAUGUCGUCGAGACUCUUGCCGCGCGUUUCAGGUACAAAGAAGUGGACGAAAGCCAAGCCUGCCAGCAGAAGGAUUGUAAAGAUCCAAAAUGUUGAGGACCCAUUGAGCCAAGACACCAAGUCCCCAUAGAAUCUGAGAAAAAAAUUAUUUUUAUGGAUAUAAUGUUUUUCAUGUUUUUACACUUGGAAUAUUGAUCGAAUAGAAUUGAAUCAUGAAUUGAAUUCACAUUUUUAUUAAGCACCCAUUUCAAUGUGUUGAUGUUCAGAUUGCCAGUAUGGGAAUUGCAACUUACUUAUUUUUUUGUAAAAACAAAUUUGAUUUAUAAACCCCAUUGAGGAAAUGCCAACUUUGAAUUCAAAUCACCAUGAAUGAAAUUUGAUCACAAAAACAAAUUUAAUUGUUAAAAUUUAUGUUUAAAAUGAAAAUAAUUUAAUAAAUAUAAAAUACUACAUAUGAAAGGAAAAUCAUUAAAUAAAUAAUAAGUAAAAAUGUAAA